UACGAAGGGAGCUAGCGUUGUUCGGAAUCACUGGGCGUAAAGCGCACGUAGGCGGAUUUGUUAGUCAGGGGUGAAAUCCCGGGGCUCAACCUCGGAACUGCCUUUAAUACUGCAAGUCUCGAGUCCGAUAGAGGUGGGUGGAAUUCCUAGUGUAGAGGUGAAAUUCGUAGAUAUUAGGAAGAACACCGGUGGCGAAGGCGGCCCACUGGAUCGGUACUGACGCUGAGGUGCGAAAGCGUGGGGAGCAAACAGG
rnacentral:rRNA from 1 species